ensembl:rRNA 5S_rRNA 5S ribosomal RNA
GUCUACAGCCAUACCACCCUGAACAUGCCGUAUCUUGUCUGAUCUCGGAAGCUAAGCAGGGUCGGGCCUGGUUAGUACUCGGAUGGAAGACUGCCUAGAAAUACCGGGUGCUGUAGGCU